GGUCGAGUCGUCUAGAGGAAGUUUUGGUAUCCUCGGCGUCAGGAUGAACGCUGGCGGCGUGCCUAACACAUAGCAAGUCGAACGGACAUAAUUGAACCUAGUGAGAUUAUGUUAGUGGCGGACGGGUGAGUAACGCGUGGGCGAACCUGCCCCGACUACCGGGGGAUACCAGCCGGAAACGGGCUGCUAAUACCGCAUAAGCGCACAGCUUUGCAUGAAGCAGUGUGAAGAACUCCGGUGGUAUGGGAUGGACCCGCGUCCGAUUCGCCAGUUGCGGGGUAGAGGCCCACCAAAGCGACGAUCGGUAGCCGGCCUGAGAGGGCGGACGGCCACAUUGGGACUGAGACACGGCCCAAACUCCUACGGGAGGCAGCAGUGGGGAAUAUUGCACAAUGGGGGGAACCCUGAUGCAGCGACGCCGCGUGAGUGAAGAAGUCAUUCGUGGUGUAAAGCUCUAUCAGCAGGGAAGAAAAUGACGGUACCUGACUAAGAAGCCCCGGCUAACUACGUG
rnacentral:rRNA from 1 species